rnacentral:pre_miRNA from 9 species
UCUCGAUAGCGUAAAAGUUAACUCAAAUUUGUGUAUGGAGUUGGAACGUUUGCCUACGUUUGCCGCUAGGGGCGCUGUUCCAACUAAAUGCAAAUUUGAGUUAAUUUUUACGCUAUCGA